rnacentral:rRNA from 1 species
CGCGGCCUAUCAGCUUGUUGGUGGGGUAAUGGCCUACCAAGGCGACUACGGGUAGCCGGCCUGAGAGGGCGACCGGCCACACUGGGACUGAUACACGGCCCAGACUCCUACGGGAGGCAGCAGUGGGGAAUAUUGCGCAAUGGGCGGAAGCCUGACGCAACGACGCCCCGUGAGGGAUGAAGGCCUUCGGGUCGUAAACCUCUUUCAGCAUGGAAGAAGCGAAAGUGACUGUACCUGCAAAAUAAGCACCGGCUAACUACGUGCCAGCAGCCGCGGUAAUACGUAGGGUGCAAGCGUUGUCCGGAAUUAUUGGGCGUAAAGAGCUCGUAGGCGGUCUGUCGCGUCUGCUGUGAAAACUCAGGGCUUAACCCUGAGCUUGCAGUGGGUACGGGCAGACUACUUUGCGGUAGGGGAGACUGGAAUUCCUGGUGUCUCGGUGAAAUGCGCAGAUAUCAGGAGGAACACCGGUGGCGAAGGCGGGUCUCUGGGCCGUAACUGACGCUGAGGAGCGAAAGCAUGGGGAGCGAACAGGAUUAGAUACCCUGGUAGUCCAUGCCGUAAACGUUGGGCGCUAGGUGUGGGGCUCAUUCCACGAGUUCCGUGCCGCAGCUAACGCAUUAAGCGCCCCGCCUGGGGAGUACGG